GCUUGUCUCAAAGAUUAAGCCAUGCAUGUCUAAGUUCAAGCGAAAAUAAAGUGAAACCGCGAAUGGCUCAUUACAUCAGUUAUGGUUCCUUAGAUCGCACUUACUACUUGGAUAACUGUGGUAAUUCUAGAGCUAAUACAUGCGCAGAGCCCCAACCCUCGUGGAAGGGGCGCUUUUAUUAGAUCAAAGCCAAUCGAGUUUCGGCUCGUUUCUUUGGUGACUCUGAAUAACUUUGCUGAUCGCAUGGUCUCGUACCGGCGACGUAUCUUUCAAGUGUCUGCCUUAUCAACUUUCGAUGGUAGGUUAUGCGCCUACCAUGGUUGUAACGGGUAACGGGGAAUUAGGGUUCGAUUCCGGAGAGGGAGCCUGAGAAACGGCUACCACAUCCAAGGAAGGCAGCAGG
rnacentral:rRNA from 1 species